rnacentral:rRNA from 1 species
GACGAACGCUGGCGGCGUGCUUAACACAUGCAAGUCGAACGAAGUGGCGAACGGGUGAGUAACGCGUAAUCAACCUGCCCUUCAGAGGGGGACAACAGUUGGAAACGACUGCUAAUACCGCAUCCUGAAGGCGGGGAUUGCGUCUGAUUAGCUAGUUGGAGGGGUAACGGCCCACCAAGGCGAUGAUCAGUAGCCGGUCUGAGGGGGUGAACGGGCACAUUGGGGCUGCGACACGGCCAAGACUCCUACGGGAGGCAGCAGUGGGGAAUCUUCCGCAAUGGACGAAAGUCUGACGGAGCAACGCCGCGUGAGUGAUGACGGCCUUCGGGUUGUAAAGCUCUGUUGAUCGGGACGCGGUACCGGAAUAGAAAGCCACGGCUAACUACGUGCCAGCAGCCGCGGUAAUUC